rnacentral:rRNA from 1 species
GAUGAACGCUGGCGGCGUGCCUAAUACAUGCAAGUCGAGCGAAUGAUGAGGAGCUUGCUCCUCUGAUUUAGCGGCGGACGGGUGAGUAACACGUGGGUAAUCUGCCUGUAAGACUGGGAUAACUCCGGGAAACCGGGUCUAAUACCGGAUAAUAAGAAGAAACGCAUGUGUCUUUUUUGAAAGUCGGUUUCGGCUGACACUUACAUAUGAGCCCGCGGCGCAUUAGCUAGUUGGCGAGGUAACGUCUCACCAAGGCGACGAUGCGGAGCCGACCUGGGAGGGUGAUCGGCCCCGCUGGGAAUGAGCAACGGCCCAGACUCCUACGGGCGGCAGCAGUAGGGAAUCUUCGGCAAUGGGCGAAAGCCUGACCGAGCAACGCCGCGUGAGCGAUGAAGGCCUUCGGGUCGUAAAGCUCUGUUGUUAGAGAAGAACAAGUACGAGAGUAGCUGCUCGUACCUUGACGGUACCUAACCAGAAAGCCACGGCUAACUACGUGCCAGCAGCCGCGGUAACAC